rnacentral:rRNA from 1 species
UACGGGGGGGGCAAGCGUUGUUCGGAAUUACUGGGCGUAAAGGGCUCGUAGGCGGCCAACUAAGUCGGAUGUGAAAUCCCCAGGCUCAACUUGGGAACUGCAUCCGAUACUGGAUGGCUUGAAUUCGGGAGAGGGAUGCAGAAUUCCAGGUGUAGCGGUGAAAUGCGUAGAUAUCUGGAGGAAUACCAAUGGCGAAGGCAGCUCGCUGGGACGUGACUGACGCUGAGACGCGAAAGCGUGGGGAGCAAACAGG